GGGCUGGGAGCGCUUUGAUUUUCAAGUGCUGCCGCGGGCUCGGGGCAUUCUGGGCACCCUCUGAAAGGAGCCUAUCCCCACCUUACGUUGUCACCAGCCUGAGGUUUCCUUGCCUGUUGUCUGUAACACCCCCGCUUCCCCAUUCCGCCCCGACACAGAGUCCAGACAGGCAGGCAGGCAGGCCCCGGCCUCGUCUGCGGCUGAGUGGGGUCCCAGCUCCAGGGAAACGCUUGAUGCUGCGGUCGCUCAGGUUUGCAUUAAGAGAAACCUGCUUUUUCUUAAUGAGAAAAUGGAGAAAAAUGGAAAGCACCUUUUAUCCUACCAUCGGAGGGAGAGCCGUGGAUUACAUUUAGAGAUAAGCCAGCCUCGAUUUGUCAAGCUUCAGCCCCCUGAGUUGUGCCUGUCAUCCUACAGGACGAGGCAGAGAAGAGGGUGAGAGUUGAAGAAACGUGCUCCACCAGACAAGCAUAAAAAACACAAAGGUGGUGCAGGUGAUGGGAAGUGUUACAAAGUCCAACAUGGCCUUUUACUGGAAAGAGAGACAAGGGGGUCAAAACACUUUCCGGAGGCCCUGCUUCUUUUAGGCCUCGGGCACAGGCUGCACCUUGGAAGGGCUCAAUAAGGCUGCUCCAAAACUAGAAACCCACGACUCAGCUUCCGAAACUCUCCCUGACCAAGCCCUGAGAAAGGAGAUAAGAUGGGGACGCGAGAGGUGGAGGCUGGAGAAAACCCAUAGGGUUCCGUCCUCUACUUCCCCCAUACCAAUACCAUGGCGUCACUCAUUUCUCGAGAGCAAGGAAAGGCAUCUAUCCCAGGAAAAGACCAAGCGGUGGGAAAGUGGGUGACUAAAUGAAGACUCAGCAAGAAUGAAGAGAACAAGACUUCGACCUUGAGGCUCCAGAGGAAAGGAGUCUGCAGAUUCAGGGGUUUCCUGGACCACCAUCGGCGGGGGAGAUGCAGAGUGUGUGACAUGAAGGGUGUGUGUCAGCUUCUCAGAAGGUGCUGGGCCAAGUCAGAAGCCUGGGGCAGAGCCUCAUUUCUAGGAACCAGUAUUUCUGCAAGCUGGGCUUUCUGCCUCCUCCUGGUCUCCUGCUUCCAUUCUUGCCCCUUAGAAUCCAUUCCCUACAUGCAGCCUGAGGGGCCUUUUUAAAGAAGUAAGCCAAAUCACAUCCUCUAAAGGCUUCAGAAUCAAGUUCUACAUCCCCCAGCAGCCCUUUCCAAGGCUCCACAGAAAGGGGCUUGCCUGGACCCCAUGUCCUCUCCUGCUACAGGCUCCAGCCACCUGGAGCAUGUGGGAAAACAUGAAAGGAAAUGAAUGGUAGUGACAGGGCAGCUCCUGCCCUGGUGUAGGACACAGAGAGGUCUUUAAGGAGGCCAUCUGGUCCUUCCUGCCUCCAGUUAGGAAUGUCCUCCAUUAAUCACAGAAAGCAAACUGUCCACUUGGUCUUAAGAGUCUCCAGAGAAGGAGGUCCCACUUUCUUGCCACUUAGCUUGGAAACAGUUUGGCGAUGAUUCCCAACCCUUGUCUUUAGCAAGUUCUUUUGAAAACCUAACCUUUAACCCCCUGCUGUAACUUGUACCCUCUGGGAACCUUAGUUAUUUGACCGCUACAGCUAAUUACACAAUGGUAUCCAUCUCCGAAUUAAAGCAAAAGAUGCCACUAAGUUCUCAUGUGACCUUGGCUAAGUCCUACUUUCCUCCAGGCAUCAGCCCCUCCUUCUUGGAAAGGAGGCAGGUAUCAACAGCCUUCCUCUGGG